rnacentral:rRNA from 1 species
AGAGUUUGAUCCUGGCUCAGAUUGAACGCUGGCGGCAGGCUUAACACAUGCAAGUCGAACGGUAACAUAAAGGAGCUUGCUUCUUUGAUGACGAGUGGCGGACGGGUGAGUAAUGCUUGGGAAUCUAGCUUAUGGAGGGGGAUAACUACGGGAAACUGUAGCUAAUACCGCGUAGAAUCGGGAGAUGAAAGUGUGGGACCUUCGGGCCACAUGCCAUAGGAUGAGCCCAAGUGGGAUUAGGUAGUUGGUGAGGUAAAGGCUCACCAAGCCGACGAUCUCUAGCUGGUCUGAGAGGAUGACCAGCCACACUGGGACUGAGACACGGCCCAGACUCCUACGGGAGGCAGCAGUGGGGAAUAUUGCGCAAUGGGGGCAACCCUGACGCAGCCAUGCCGCGUGAAUGAAGAAGGCCUUCGGGUUGUAAAGUUCUUUCGGUAGCGAGGAAGGCAUUUAGUUUAAUAGACUAGGUGAUUGACGUUUAACUACAGAAGA